rnacentral:lncRNA from 14 species
GGGGGAGCGGGCAAAAAAGCACACUAGGAUGUCACAGAGGAAAAGCAAACAUCUAGAAAUGCUCCACAAAGGUGCUUGAAAUCUGGGCUAUUUCUCUCUGUAAGGGUGGAUGGUAUGGGAGGCACAAGCUCUGGAGGCAAUGUGUCCUGAAAGGCAGGACUUCUGAUUCAUUCUGAUAACUAGGAUAGAAAAGCUGUGGGCUUGGUAGAAGUAUAUUUUCUACCAGUUACUGCCCUAGAAUAUACCUGUGACAAAGGAAAGAAAAUUAAGAAAGGCUGGUAAAAAUACCCCUUCUUCUUUUAGAGGCAGUCAUACAAGGAACAGUGGGAAGUUUCUGUGCAGAACAGGAUUCUUGGAGAGGAUGCACCACUGCCAGGAUAUGGUGCUCUUCAAUGAAAGGUUGAACAAACUACCACUGCGUAGCCUAACGGAGCAAAAAAGAUGAGGUAGGAGGCAUGAUAAAGACGUUCAAAUAUGUAAAAGCCUGUUGUAAAAAGGAAUGGAACCGUCUCUUCUCCAUGUCAUACAAGAUAUGGCAAGAUGUAGCA